AGGGGCAAAAGAUGCAGCCAGGGCAGUCUUGCUGUCAGGGAAUUCAUUCACAGUCUGAGGCAGCAAUCACAAUAAAAGCAGAAAAUCACAACAAAUCAUGACAGGUGCAAGAAAAGAGGAAUACCAGCUGUUGCAUUGGGCAUGGACACGGGCUUCUCUCUAGUUGUGGCACACUGACCUGGUUGUCCCAUGAAGUGUGGGAUCUUAGUUCCCCGACUGGGGAUGGAAGGUGAUUCUUAACCACUGGACCACCAGUGUCCUGAACACAUCAGACCUCAAUCAAUUCUGACCUUCUUGAAGUGAAUUUCAGGCACACAGAGGUUUCCACUCUCACCUGCGUGAAUCUUGUGCUCCGUGGGGCACCAGCUUGCCGUUCUCAGUGUCAACUGUGACUCCUCUACUGUAUGGCUUUGGGCUGGUCACUGCAUAUCUUCCUGAAAAAAUGGGCAUAAUGGGACUUUCCUGGUGGUCCAGUGGCUAAAACACUGUGCUCCCAAAGCAGGGGGCCCAGGGGGCCCAGGUUCAAUCCCUGGUCAAGCAACUAGAUCCCACAUGCUGCAACCAAGAGUUUGCGCACUGAAACAAAAGGUCCCACAUGC
ensembl:lncRNA